GACGAACGCUGGCGGCGUGCUUAACACAUGCAAGUCGAACGGAAAGGCCCAGCUUGCUGGGUACUCGAGUGGCGAACGGGUGAGUAACACGUGGGUGAUCUGCCCUGGACUCUGGGAUAAGCCUGGGAAACUGGGUCUAAUACCGGAUAUGACCUUACAUCGCAUGGUGUUUGGUGGAAAGCUUUUGCGGUUCAGGAUGGGCCCGCGGCCUAUCAGCUUGUUGGUGGGGUAAUGGCCUACCAAGGCGAAGACGGGUAGCCGACCUGAGAGGGUGAUCGGCCACACUGGGACUGAGACACGGCCCAGACUCCUACGGGAGGCAGCAGUGGGGAAUAUUGCACAAUGGGCGCAAGCCUGAUGCAGCGACGCCGCGUGAGGGAUGACGGCCUUCGGGUUGUAAACCUCUUUCACCAGGGACGAAGCGUGAGUGACGGUACCUGGAGAAGAAGCACCGGCCAACUACGUG
rnacentral:rRNA from 1 species